rnacentral:rRNA from 1 species
CCUACGGGAGGCAGCAGUAGGGAAUCUUCGUCAAUGGGCGCAAGCCUGAACGAGCGAUGCCGCGUGAGUGAAGAAGGCCUUCGGGUCGUAAAGCUCUGUUGCGGGGGAAAAAAGGCAGCAUCAGGAAAUGGGUGCUGACUGAUGGUGCCCCGCCAGAAAGUCACGGCUAACUACGUGCCAGCAGCCGCGGUAAUCCGUAGGUGGCGAGCGUUAUCCGGAAUGGUUGGGCGUAAGGGGUGCGCAGGCGGUCCUGCAAGUCUGGAGUGAAAAGCAUGGGCUCAACUCAUGCAUGGCUUUGGAAACUGGAGGACUGGAGAGAAGGAGAGGGCGGUGGAACUCCAUGUGUAGCGGUAAAAUGCGUAGAUAUAUGGAAGAACACCAGUGGCGAAGGCGGCCGCCUGGCCUGUUGCUGACGCUGAGGCACGAAAGCGUGGGGAGCAAAUAGGAUUAGAUACCCGGGUAGUC